rnacentral:lncRNA from 1 species
CUAUGGAAAGUGACAAGACAACCCUUUGAUUCUACUUAUGAUUCAUACCCACGCAUGCUAGGGAAUAGUGUUGGCAUUUUGUCAGCAGUGUUGCAUUAUGAGCUCUCAUUUGUGUUCCUUUUUUUCCCCAGGUGGAUUUAUUUCUUGUCCACAUCAAAAUGCAGAGACUGCUCCAUUCAUCAGGUCCAUGGCAUACAAAGGAGAUGUUAUCAACAUGUAUCUUGUAUCCUAGCUAGAAAAACUGAGAAUCAGAAGAAGCAUUCUGCAAGCAAACAGGAACAAAUGCCUGAAAGAUCUCAUAUCAGCAGCCAUUCAUUUCCCUGACCUGGUGACAAUCAUCCCUGCUCUGCACACCUGCGCCAACUCAGGACGAACCAGUUGUAUGGAGAUGAUGGGCAGAGAAGGAGAAAGGAUGUAUCAGAAUUAUGGAGAUCAUCUUCUGCAAAGGGAAAAAUCUUUGAUGAAGAAGGAAGCCCAUAAACCGUAUAAAAGUUUAUUUGGUGACUAAGGAGGAAGAGAAAAAAUAUAUAUAUUCUCUACAGCUCUUAUUUUCAAUACAUGCAUUAUAUAUAAUUUAUUUACAUAAUUGCCCAUUGCAUGCUGGUAUAGCUUUUUUUACAACUUCACUUAGAAAACUAUGCUGUGCGUUGGCCUAAGCACUCCGUCUGAAUGCAGAAGUGCUGUCUGGGUGCCUAGAAAUAACUUCUGGUGCCAUUGGUCAAUUUUAAUCGUAUUUGACAGGCUGAAGUUUGAGAGAGGAAGUUUCUUCCAGUUAUUUCAAGCAAGUGGUGGGUAGGUACAAAAACACCAGUGGAUGUUGCAGGCUGAAAGCUAAACUCAGCCUUAGAGAAAAGAGGACUCUACCUCUUAAUGUAGGCUACACAUUUUUUUAUGAUGCAUAGAAUUACUUAUGUAUGAUUUGCUUUCAUUCAGUUUUUUUCAGAUGUCCAGAGACUGUAGCAUGCAACGCAAUUGAAAGAACAACCAUUACCCUUGUUUUAAAAAGAAAUCCUUCAAAAAAAU